rnacentral:rRNA from 1 species
AUUGAACGCUGGCGGCAUGCCUUACACAUGCAAGUCGAACGGUAACGCGGGGCAACCUGGCGACGAGUGGCGAACGGGUGAGUAAUGUAUCGGAACGUGCCCAGUUGUGGGGGAUAACUGCUCGAAAGAGCAGCUAAUACCGCAUACGACCUGAGGGUGAAAGCGGGGGAUCGCAAGACCUCGCGCAAUUGGAGCGGCCGAUAUCAGAUUAGGUAGUUGGUGGGGUAAAGGCUCACCAAGGCGACGAUCCCUAGCUGGUCUGAGAGGAUGAUCAGCCACACUGGAACUGAGACACGGUCCAGACUCCUACGGGAGGCAGCAGUGGGGAAUAUUGCACAAUGGGGGAAACCCUGAUGCAGCCAUGCCGCGUGUGUGAAGAAGGCCUUCGGGUUGGUAAAGCGUCUUUCGGCCGGGAAGAAAUACGCACAGGCCAANACCCUCGUGUGGAUGACGGUACCGGAAUAAGAAGCACCGGCUAACUACGUG